rnacentral:rRNA from 1 species
AUUGAACGCUGGCGGCAGACCUAACACAUGCAAGUCGAGCGGAUGACGGGAGCUUGCUCCUUGAUUCAGCGGCGGACGGGUGAGUAAUGCCUAGGAAUCUGCCUGGUAGUGGGGGACAACGUUUCGAAAGGAACGCUAAUACCGCAUACGUCCUACGGGAGAAAGCAGGGGACCUUCGGGCCUUGCGCUAUCAGAUGAGCCUAGGUCGGAUUAGCUAGUUGGUGGGGUAAUGGCUCACCAAGGCGACGAUCCGUAACUGGUCUGAGAGGAUGAUCAGGCACACUGGAACGGAGACACGUUCCAGACUCCUACGGGAGGCAGCAGUGGGGAAUAUUGGACAAUGGGCGAAAGCCUGAUCCCGCCAUGCCGCGUGUGUGAAGAAGGUCUUCGGAUUGUAAAGCACUUUAAGUUGGGAGGAAGGGCAGUAAGCUAAUACCUUGCUGUUUUGACGUUACCGACAGAAUAAGCACCGGCUAACUCUGUGCCAGCCGCCGCCGUAA